rnacentral:rRNA from 1 species
GACGAACGCUGGCGGCGUGCUUAACACAUGCAAGUCGAACGGUAAGGCCCUUCGGGGUACACGAGUGGCGAACGGGUGAGUAACACGUGGGUGAUCUGCCCUGCACUUCGGGAUAAGCCUGGGAAACCGGGUCUAAUACCGGAUAGGACCCUGGGAUGCAUGUCCUGGGGUGGAAAGCUUUUGCGGUGUGGGAUGGGCCCGCGGCCUAUCAGCUUGUUGGUGGGGUGAUGGCCUACCAAGGCGACGACGGUAGCCGGCCUGAGAGGGUGACCGGCCACACUGGGACUGGGAUACGGCCCAGACUCCUACGGGAGGCAGCAGUGGGGAAUAUUGCACAAUGGGCGCAAGCCUGAUGCAGCGACGCCGCGUGAGGGAUGACGGCCUUCGGGUUGUAAACCUCUUUCAGCACCGACGAAGCGCAAGUGACGGUAGGUGCAGAAGAAGGACCGGCCAACUACGUGCCAGCCGCCGCAGUAA